rnacentral:rRNA from 1 species
GGUUAAGCGACUAAGCGUACACGGUGGAUGCCCUGGCAGUCAGAGGCGAUGAAGGACGUGCUAAUCUGCGAAAAGCGUCGGUAAGGUGAUAUGAACCGUUACAGCCGGCGAUGUCCGAAUGGGGAAACCCAGUGCAAUUCGUUGCACUAUCGUUAACUGAAUACAUAGGUUAACGAGGCGAACCGGGGGAACUGAAACAUCUAAGUACCCCGAGGAAAAGAAAUCAACCGAGAUUCCCCCAGUAGCGGCGAGCGAACGGGGAGCAGCCCAGAGUCUGAAUCAGCUUGUGUGUUAGUGGAACGGUCUGGAAAGUCCGACGGUACAGGGUGAUAGUCCCGUACACCAAAAUGCACAGGUUGUGAACUCGAAGAGUAGGGCGGGACACGUGGUAUCCUGUCUGAAUAUGGGGGGACCAUCCUCCAAGGCUAAAUACUCCUGACUGACCGAUAGUGAACCAGUACCGUGAGGGAAAGGCGAAAAGAACCCCGGCGAGGGGAGUGAAAAAGAACCUGAAACCGUGUACGUACAAGCAGUGGGAGCACCUUCGGGUGUGACUGCGUACCUUUUGUAUAAUGGGUCAGCGACUUAUAUUCUGUAGCAAGGUUAACCGUAUAGGGGAGCCGCAGGGAAACCGAGUCUUAACUGGGCGUUAAGUUGCAGGGUAUAGACCCGAAACCCGGUGAUCUAGCCAUGGGCAGGUUGAAGGUUGGGUAACACUAACUGGAGGACCGAACCGACUAAUGUUGAAAAAUUAGCGGAUGACUUGUGGCUGGGGGUGAAAGGCCAAUCAAACCGGGAGAUAGCUGGUUCUCCCCGAAAGCUAUUUAGGUAGCGCCUCGUGAACUCAUCUUCGGGGGUAGAGCACUGUUUCGGCUAGGGGGUCAUCCCGACUUACCAACCCGAUGCAAACUACGAAUACCGAAGAAUGUUAUCACGGGAGACACACGGCGGGUGCUAACGUCCGUCGUGAAGAGGGAAACAACCCAGACCGCCAGCUAAGGUCCCAAAGUCAUGGUUAAGUGGGAAACGAUGUGGGAAGGCACAGACAGCCAGGAUGUUGGCUUAGAAGCAGCCAUCAUUUAAAGAAAGCGUAAUAGCUCACUGGUCGAGUCGGCCUGCGCGGAAGAUGUAACGGGGCUAAACCAUGCACCGAAGCUGCGGCAGCGACACUAUGUGUUGUUGGGUAGGGGAGCGUUCUGUAAGCCUGCGAAGGUGUGCUGUGAGGCAUGCUGGAGGUAUCAGAAGUGCGAAUGCUGACAUAAGUAACGAUAAAGCGGGUGAAAAGCCCGCUCGCCGGAAGACCAAGGGUUCCUGUCCAACGUUAAUCGGGGCAGGGUGAGUCGACCCCUAAGGCGAGGCCGAAAGGCGUAGUCGAUGGGAAACAGGUUAAUAUUCCUGUACUUGGUGUUACUGCGAAGGGGGGACGGAGAAGGCUAUGUUAGCCGGGCGACGGUUGUCCCGGUUUAAGCAUGUAGGCUGAUUGUCCAGGCAAAUCCGGAUAAUCAAGGCUGAGGUGUGAUGACGAGGCACUACGGUGCUGAAGUAACAAAUGCCCUGCUUCCAGGAAAAGCCUCUAAGCAUCAGGUAACAUUAAAUCGUACCCCAAACCGACACAGGUGGUCAGGUAGAGAAUACCAAGGCGCUUGAGAGAACUCGGGUGAAGGAACUAGGCAAAAUGGUGCCGUAACUUCGGGAGAAGGCACGCUGGUGUGUAGGUGAAGUCCCUGCGGAUGGAGCUGAGACCAGUCGAAGAUACCAGCUGGCUGCAACUGUUUAUUAAAAACACAGCACUGUGCAAACACGAAAGUGGACGUAUACGGUGUGACGCCUGCCCGGUGCCGGAAGGUUAAUUGAUGGGGUUAUCCGUAAGGAGAAGCUCUUGAUCGAAGCCCCGGUAAACGGCGGCCGUAACUAUAACGGUCCUAAGGUAGCGAAAUUCCUUGUCGGGUAAGUUCCGACCUGCACGAAUGGCGUAAUGAUGGCCAGGCUGUCUCCACCCGAGACUCAGUGAAAUUGAACUCGCUGUGAAGAUGCAGUGUACCCGCGGCAAGACGGAAAGACCCCGUGAACCUUUACUAUAGCUUGACACUGAACAUUGAGCCUUGAUGUGUAGGAUAGGUGGGAGGCUUUGAAGCGUGGACGCCAGUCUGCGUGGAGCCAACCUUGAAAUACCACCCUUUAAUGUUUGAUGUUCUAACGUUGGCCCCUGACCGGGGUUGCGGACAGUGUCUGGUGGGUAGUUUGACUGGGGCGGUCUCCUCCCAAAGCGUAACGGAGGAGCACGAAGGUUAGCUAAUCCUGGUCGGACAUCAGGAGGUUAGUGCAAUGGCAUAAGCUAGCUUGACUGCGAGCGUGACGGCGCGAGCAGGUGCGAAAGCAGGUCAUAGUGAUCCGGUGGUUCUGAAUGGAAGGGCCAUCGCUCAACGGAUAAAAGGUACUCCGGGGAUAACAGGCUGAUACCGCCCAAGAGUUCAUAUCGACGGCGGUGUUUGGCACCUCGAUGUCGGCUCAUCACAUCCUGGGGCUGAAGUAGGUCCCAAGGGUAUGGCUGUUCGCCAUUUAAAGUGGUACGCGAGCUGGGUUUAGAACGUCGUGAGACAGUUCGGUCCCUAUCUGCCGUGGGCGCUGGAGAAUUGAGGGGGGCUGCUCCUAGUACGAGAGGACCGGAGUGGACGCAUCACUGGUGUUCGGGUUGUCAUGCCAAUGGCACUGCCCGGUAGCUAAAUGCGGAAGAGAUAAGUGCUGAAAGCAUCUAAGCACGAAACUUGCCCCGAGAUGAGUUCUCCCUGAGACUAUAAGUCUCCUGAAGGAACGUUAAAGACGAUGACGUUGAUAGGCCGGGUGUGUAAGCGCAGCGAUGCGUUGAGCUAACCGGUACUAAUGAACCGUGAGGCUUAACCUU